rnacentral:rRNA from 1 species
GACGGGACCGCACAAGCGGUGGAUGAUGUGGAUUAAUUCGAUGCAACGCGAAAACCUUACCUACCCUUGACAUGUCCGGAAUCCCGAAGAGAUUUGGGAGUGCUCGCAAGAGAACCGGAACACAGGUGCUGCAUGGCUGUCGUCAGCUCGUGUCGUGAGAUGUUGGGUUAAGUCCCGCAACGAGCGCAACCCUUGUCAUUAGUUGCCAUCAUUUGGUUGGGCACUCUAAUGAGACUGCCGGUGACAAGCCGGAGGAAGGUGGGGAUGACGUCAAGUCCUCAUGGCCCUUAUAGGUGGGGCUACACACGUCAUACAAUGGCUGGUACAAAGGGUUGCCAACCCGCGAGGGGGAGCUAAUCCCACAAAGCCAGUCGUAGUCCGGAUCGUAGUCUGCAACUCGACUACGUGAAGUCGGAAUCGCUAGUAAUCGUGGAUCAGAAUGUCACGGUGAAUACGUUCCCGGGUCUU